CGAACUUCAUCGGAAACGCAGACGCAGUGGAAACAGUCCGCGGUUGCGCCCCGCCCCGGAAGUGUGGCAGGACUGGAAAGCCGGCGGGGAGAACACAGACUGGAUGCAGAUUCAAAAGCCCAAUUGUAGGAGGAAAAGAACCCAAAACACCAAAGCUGUGUUUUUUUCAAGACAGCCACUCCGAACCAGUAAGGAGCCAUCUUGGUUGUGCAGUUAAUGGCGGUCUUGAUGUGUUCAACUCACCUGGAGUUUUGUAACGGUAGUAUCUUUUUGAGUAUUUCAAAUGCAGCGUUGUCAGUAAUUACUGUUUCCUAAAAGAAAAUAUAUAUCUUUAAAAAGAUAUAAUUAUUUUUGCUUUGUGUGUGUCAUAUAUAUAUAUAUAUAUAUAUAUAUAUA